rnacentral:rRNA from 1 species
CUUCCGUAAGGGGUACCUGCGGAAGGAUCAUUG